rnacentral:lncRNA from 1 species
CAUUGCGAGAUCAUAAAUCUCUGUAAUUGACUGAAGAUAGUUCACAAACCCUAUAUCAAAUUCAAAAACCUUACAUCUUCUUCCCCAACCUCUGUUCGUCCCUUUCGGUGCGAUUUCAUCGAACAUUAAUGAGGAAUACUGAUUUGGGAGUUGUAAUGGAGAAACGAAACAAGACUAACAACGAUCGACCAAAAUUGAAGAAGAUGAAUCCAGGGAAAGGUUCUUGCCGGGAUAAAGAAAAAUCAAGACAUGUCGUAAAGACUCCUUGAACAACCACCGUCGAACUUCAGAGACACCGCGUUGGAGCACAUUAAGGAAUAGUCUCGAGCUGAUGACUUGGUCUUCUCUUUUCUGAAGGAUGCUCUGUCUACAGUGAAAGAAAAAGAUGGAGUUCAGCUCGAGUGAACGUGACAAGAUCUUUGCUACAAGAAACUAGGUUAUCUUCAUCUUUAUAUUGUCUUUUGUUGUGUUAAUCAAUACUAUGUUGAAACUAUGGUUGUUUUGAUAACUUCUGAUGGUUGUAAUUUUGAACACUUUUAA